rnacentral:rRNA from 1 species
GACUGGAAUAACUUCGGGAAACCGGAGCUAAUGCCGGAUAACAUAUAGAACCGCAUGGUUCUAUAGUGAAAGAUGGUUUUGCUAUCACUUAUAGAUGGACCCGCGCCGUAUUAGCUAGUUGGUAAGGUAAAGGCUUACCAAGGCGACGAUACGUAGCCGACCUGAGAGGGUGAUCGGCCACACUGGAACUGAGACACGGUCCAGACUCCUACGGGAGGCAGCAGUAGGGAAUCUUCCGCAAUGGGCGAAAGCCUGACGGAGCAACGCCGCGUGAGUGAUGAAGGUUUUCGGAUCGUAAAACUCUGUUAUUAGGGAAGAACAAAUGCGUAAGUAACUGUGCGCAUCUUGACGGUACCUAAUCAGAAAGCCACGGCUAACUACGUGCCAGCAGCCGCGGUAAUACGUAGGUGGCAAGCGUUAUCCGGAAUUAUUGGGCGUAAAGCGCGCGUAGGCGGUUUCUUAAGUCUGAUGUGAUUGCCCACGGCUCAACCGUGAGGGUCAUUGGAAACUGGGAAACUUGAGUGCAGAGAGGAAGUGGAUUCCAUGUGUAGCGUGAAUGCGCAGAGAUAUGGAGGACACCAGUGGCGAAGCGACUUUCUGGUCUGUAACUGACGCUGAUUUGCGAAGCGUGGGGAUCAAACAGAUUAAAUACCCUGGUAGUCACGCCGUAACGAUGAGGCUAUGUUAGGGGUUCCGCCCUAUGGUGCGCUACCAUAGCCUCCGCUGGGGAG